GAUGAACGCUAGCUACAGGCUUAACACAUGCAAGUCGAGGGGUAACGAGAGGAAAGCUUGCUUUCCUUGUCGACGACCGGCGCACGGGUGAGUAACGCGUAUCCAACCUGCCCCCAACUAAGGAAUAACCUUGCGAAAGUAAGACUAAUACCUUAUAAUUUCCUCAGAUGUCAUCUGACGAGGAAUAAAGAUUUAUCGGUUGUGGAUGGGGAUGCGUCUGAUUAGCUUGUUGGCGGGGUAACGGCCCACCAAGGCAACGAUCAGUAGGGGUUCUGAGUGGAAGGUCCCCCACAUUGGAACUGGGACACGGUCCAAACUCCUACGGGAGGCAGCAGUGAGGAAUAUUGGUCAAUGGGCGGAAGCCUGAACCAGCCAAGUAGCGUGCAGGAUGACGGCCCUAUGGGUUGUAAACUGCUUUUAUACAGGAAUAAAGUUAGCCACGUGUGGUUAUUUGUAGGUACUGUAUGAAUAAGGACCGGCUAAUUCCGUGCCAGCCGCCGCGGUAA
rnacentral:rRNA from 1 species